CCACCACUACCACCAGCACUGCAAUCCCCACUGUGUCCCCAGCUCCAACGAUAGACCUGUUUGCUGGUUUUUUUGAUCCCAUGCCAGAUUCAUCUGUUCCCAAAACAGACCCAAAUCCCACUCUAGACUUGUUUUCAGCAGGUACACAAAGCAUCUGUCCAUGGAUUCCUUUCCUUGUUUGCAUGUUGCUUUUACUCGGUUCUGUCCUUGGCUACUCAAGGUGAGCCAAAUAUGCUUCUAUCUUGGGUUGCCAAAGGAAAUUCGAUUUCGCUCCAUCCCUGUAUCUCCAUAUCUCCCUGUAUAUCUAUAUCAUUUCUAUCUUUAUUUAUUCUUCACACCAUUCCAGCAUCUAUGGCUAUAUUAUGGCAAGAACCAGUUAACCCAUACACAAGUUGGGGGAGGGGCAAUUUGGAAUCUCCAAGUCACCUAACUUGCAUGUUUUUGGCCUGUGGGAUGAAACUGAAGUUCCCGGAUUAAGUUCCUGUUGACACAGGGGGAACAUGCAAACUCCACACAGAAAGGCCACCUGACCUAGCCAGGGCUCGAACCAGGGACCUUCUUGCUGUGAGGGAACAGUGCUACCCUAUCUCUCAUUUCAGUUUCAAUCAUCUCUCUAUUGGGCUUCGUCCUGCCGAUAUAAAAACAUUUAGGGGCUUUAAUUAUUGAAAACUUUAAAGGGAGGGUAGAUGUACUGAAAUGUUAUAACUGGUCUCAUAUUUAGAACAUACUUAUGGCACAGGUGUUAUCGUACAGUUGUACGUUAACUCUAACA